rnacentral:rRNA from 1 species
AUAUUUCGAACCGCAUGGUUCGAUAGUGAAAGAUGGUUUUGCUAUCACUUAUAGAUGGACCCGCGCCGUAUUAGCUAGUUGGUAAGGUAACGGCUUACCAAGGCGACGAUACGUAGCCGACCUGAGAGGGUGAUCGGCCACACUGGAACUGAGACACGGUCCAGACUCCUACGGGAGGCAGCAGUAGGGAAUCUUCCGCAAUGGGCGAAAGCCUGACGGAGCAACGCCGCGUGAGUGAUGAAGGUCUUCGGAUCGUAAAACUCUGUUAUUAGGGAAGAACAUACGUGUAAGUAACUGUGCACGUCUUGACGGUACCUAAUCAGAAAGCCACGGCUAACUACGUGCCAGCAGCCGCGGUAAUACGUAGGUGGCAAGCGUUAUCCGGAAUUAUUGGGCGUAAAGCGCGCGUAGGCGGUUUUUUAAGUCUGAUGUGAAAGCCCACGGCUCAACCGUGGAGGGUCAUUGGAAACUGGAAAACUUGAGUGCAGAAGAGGAAAGUGGAAUUCCAUGUGUAGCGGUGAAAUGCGCAGAGAUAUGGAGGAACACCAGUGGCGAAGGCGACUUUCUGGUCUGUAACUGACGCUAAUGUGCGAGAGCGUGGGGAUCAAACAGGAUUAGAUACCCUGGUAGUCCACGCCGUAAACGAUGAGUGCUAAGUGUUAAGGGGUUUCCGCCCCUUAGUGCUGCAGCUAACGCAUUAAGCACUCCGCCUGGGGAGUACGACCGCAAGGUUGAAACUCACAGGAAUUG